rnacentral:rRNA from 1 species
GACGAACGCUGGCGGCGUGCUUAACACAUGCAAGUCGAACGGAAAGGCCCUGCUUUUGUGGGGUGCUCGAGUGGCGAACGGGUGAGUAACACGUGAGUAACCUGCCCUUGACUGUGGGAUAACUUCAGGAAACUGGGGCUAAUACCGCAUAGGAGCUCCUGCUGCAUGGUGGGGGUUGGAAAGUUUCGGCGGUUGGGGAUGGACUCGCAGCUUAUCAGCUUGUUGGUGGGGUAGUGGCUUACCAAGGCUUUGACGGGUAGCCGGCCUGAGAGGGUGACCGGCCACAUUAGGACUGAGAUACGGCCCAGACUCCUACGGGAGGCAGCAGUGGAGAAUAUUGCACAAUGGGCGGAAGCCUGAUGCAGCAACGCCGCGUGCGGGAUGACGGCCUUCGGGUUGUAAACCGCUUUCGCCUGUGACGAAGCGUGAGUGACGGUAAUGGGUAAAGAAGCACCGGCUAACUACGUG